GAUGAACGCUGGCGGCGUGCCUAAUACAUGCAAGUCGAGCGAACAGACGAGGCGCUUGCUCCUCUGACGUUAGCGGCGGACGGGUGAGUAACACGUGGAUAACCUACCUAUAAGACUGGGAUAACUUCGGGAAACCGGAGCUAAUACCGGAUAAUAUAUUGAACCGCAUGGUUCAAUAGUGAAAGACGGUUUUGCUGUCACUUAUAGAUGGAUCCGCGCCGCAUUAGCUAGUUGGUAAGGUAACGGCUUACCAAGGCAACGAUGCGUAGCCGACCUGAGAGGGUGAUCGGCCACACUGGAACUGAGACACGGUCCAGACUCCUACGGGAGGCAGCAGUAGGGAAUCUUCCGCAAUGGGCGAAAGCCUGACGGAGCAACGCCGCGUGAGUGAUGAAGGUCUUCGGAUCGUAAAACUCUGUUAUUAGGGAAGAACAAAUGUGUAAGUAACUAUGCACGUCUUGACGGUACCUAAUCAGAAAGCCACGGCUAACUACGUG
rnacentral:rRNA from 1 species